UACAGAGGGUGCAAGCGUUAAUCGGAAUUACUGGGCGUAAAGCGUGCGUAGGUGGUUUGUUAAGUUGGAUGUGAAAGCCCCGGGCUCAACCUGGGAACUGCAUCCAAAACUGGCAAGCUAGAGUACGGUAGAGGGUGGUGGAAUUUCCUGUGUAGCGGUGAAAUGCGUAGAUAUAGGAAGGAACACCAGUGGCGAAGGCGACCACCUGGACUGAUACUGACACUGAGGUGCGAAAGCGUGGGGAGCAAACAGG
rnacentral:rRNA from 1 species